AGUGAACGCUGGCGGUAGGCCUAACACAUGCAAGUCGAACGGCAGCACAGUAAGAGCUUGCUCUUACAGGUGGCGAGUGGCGGACGGGUGAGGAAUACAUCGGAAUCUACUUUUUCGUGGGGGGUAACGUAGGGAAACUUACGCUAAUACCGCAUACGACCUACGGGUGAAAGCAGGGGAUCUUCGGACCUUGCGCGAUUGAAUGAGCCGAUGUCGGAUUAGCUAGUUGGCGGGGUAAAGGCCCACCAAGGCGACGAUCCGUAGCUGGUCUGAGAGGAUGAUCAGCCACACUGGAACUGAGACACGGUCCAGACUCCUACGGGAGGCAGCAGUGGGGAAUAUUGGACAAUGGGCGCAAGCCUGAUCCAGCCAUACCGCGUGGGUGAAGAAGGCCUUCGGGUUGUAAAGCCCUUUUGUUGGGAAAGAAAAGCAGCAGGUUAAUACCCCGCUGUUCUGACGGUACCCAAAGAAUAAGCACCGGCUAACUUCGUG
rnacentral:rRNA from 1 species